UAGUCCACCAAAUAUUGGAGUGAUGGCUCAGU
rnacentral:piRNA from 1 species